rnacentral:rRNA from 1 species
UAGGGAAUCUUCGGCAAUGGACGAAAGCCUGACCGAGCAACGCCGCGUGAGUGAAGAAGGUUUUCGGAUCGUAAAACUCUGUUGUUAGAGAAGAACAAGGACGUUAGUAACUGAACGUCCCCUGACGGUAUCUAACCAGAAAGCCACGGCUAACUACGUGCCAGCAGCCGCGGUAAUACGUAGGUGGCAAGCGUUGUCCGGAUUUAUUGGGCGUAAAGCGAGCGCAGGCGGUUUCUUAAGUCUGAUGUGAAAGCCCCCGGCUCAACCGGGGAGGGUCAUUGGAAACUGGGAGACUUGAGUGGAGAAGAGGGGAGGGGAAUUCCAUGUGUAGCGGUGAAAUGCGUAGAUAUCUGGGGGAACACCAGUGGCGAAGGCGGCUCUCUGGUCUGUAACUGACGCUGAGGCUCGAAAGCGUGGGGAGCAAACAGG